AUGGCAGAUGGCUGGCAGUUCGCUGUUUGGCAAACCAACUGGUAUGGUAUGUUGGAAAUUCAGAGCAGCAGGUAUGCAGUUCAAUUUGAAACCACCACAGAUGCUCGGAGGGAGCGGGGGAGGGGCACAAGCUGGUCAGGAAAUUAAGAACAGUGCUCUGAGCUCAGAGGGAGAAAAAGAGGAUAAUUAGCUGAAAGUUUGCUUCUUCCAGUCUCUACUUUUUUCUUUCUUUUCUUUUCUUUCUUUCUUUUUUUUUUCCUUUCCAUUUUUGGUUGCUUCUUAGAAAACCAGGAAGGAUUUUAGAAGUUAGCCCAGUGAAAAGCUUCUAAUUUUGCUCCAGAACUGUCUGUUGGAGGCAAAGCUCAGCGUCCAUGAGGAAUUCAAAGUUCGUAUGAUGGCUAAAAGGAAGGAGGAAAGUACUGUAUGUUAAGUGCCCACCACUCUCUUCCUAUGGGGCCGAAAGUGAACAGCAGACCAGCAAAGGAACUGGGAUAAAGACCUACCAGGACAUCUGUCUGGCUAGACCUCUGACCACUUCCUGCUUCUGGAAGCCCCCCCAUGCAGGACCACCGCCAAUCGUCUGCCUUCUGAAGGUGCCCACCAGGAGUGUGAAGCUGGUCUCCAGCCAGUCAGGACUUUCAGAUGCUGCCUAUUUCCAAGAGCCACCCUAACGGCCUGACUUCCCAGAGUAACUGUCCGGCUGCAGCGCAGGCCCUUCUGUUGUCAUUUAUGUCCUGAAGGAAUUUACCCAUUAGGCAAACUUCCCCAAUGUCACAGCAGUUUCUCUUCAAUGCAGCA